UACGUAGGGGGCAAGCGUUUGUCCGGAAUCAUUGGGCGUAAAGCGCGCGUAGGCGCCUUCUAAGUCGAACGUGAAAUCCCCGGGCUCAACCCGGGAACUGCGUCCGAUACUGGAAGGCUUGAAUCCGGGAGAGGGAUGCGGAAUUCCAGGUGUAGCGGUGAAAUGCGUAGAUAUCUGGAGGAAUACCGGUGGCGAAGGCGGCAUCCUGGACCGGCAUUGACGCUGAGGCGCGAAAGCCAGGGGAGCAAACGGGAUUAG
rnacentral:rRNA from 1 species